rnacentral:lncRNA from 1 species
AAGGUUCUGUUUGCAAGCCAGAGUGGAACUAGGAAGAAGCCGUGAGCAAGCUCCAUCCCUAUCCGCGUCAACAACCAGCUGCAACCCAGCUUCACCCUCCACCAGUCGCAACCAGAAAACCAGAACCAACAAACCUGUGCGUGAGCCGAGAGAAAAUAUCAUAGCUUACUUAUUCGUGAGCUGAGCUAUUCUGAGGUAAUUUUCUGGACUAUUUUGGGUUGAUCAGAGGUAGAUUCUAGUUUUAGAUUAGCCUUCUAGAGGUUGAUGAUGGUGUUUAAGUACUUGCAUGUGGGAUUUGUAUGUUCGGAUGUUGAAAUCUGUCUUGGUAGCAUCUGGUUCUGCCGAGAGUAGAUUAGGAGUUGCAGUUUUAAUUCUUGUUUCCCUGACAUCAUCUGAGCAUGAAUCGGUGAUUAGCUAACAAAAACUGAGUGGAUUAAGCUAGUUAUAGCUUUGCAUGUGAGUUUAGGCGGCCAGAUUUGUAAUUAAGAAAAGAAGAAAAUUUCUGUGCGCUAGUUAUGUUUCUGCCGAGAGCUUGAGCUGGAAAUUUUGGUUUUAAUUUGCUGGGUGUGAUGAUUUGAGCUUAAUCUUGGAUCAACCUGAUAGAUAAGCUCCUUACUUAGUAUUGCAUGUGAACUUUAUGGCUAGGAAUUUCGGUUGCAUGACUGGAAAACUUAUUAGAAAAUUUCUGGACUGCUGAACUAAUUUUUCCAGAUUAGCCGUUGAAGUUGUUUUGGAAAUUGCUUGGGUAUUUUAGCAUGAAUUUUGCUGGAACGUGUUUGAUUUCCACUUAGUUAGGUGUUUGACUAAUUAAAAUUAAAUGAUUAAGCCUUGCAUGAGGUGUUUUGGUCUGGCUAAGCUAGAAACAAAAAAAUAAACAAGAAAAUCUGCUGUAUGCAAGAUUAUCCAAGAAUAGCCGAAUGAAUUCCUGGAUUUUUGGGAUGUUUGUAGUUGUUAAUUGAAUCUGAUUUUGAACGAGAGAUGUUAAUUACCUAGCUAAGUGUUGGCAUGUUGAAUUUGAGUAACUAAUACCCUGUUUUGGCCAAGGAAAAGCUGGAGUUAAGAACAUACAAUUGCUAGAAAUUUUUUUUGUGAACUGCCGUGAAUUCGAACCAGGAAAUUUUGAAGAGUGUAGCUAUUGUUUGGAUUUAACUUCGAACUGGAAGCAAUUUGUAGCUAACUAAGUGUUUAGCUAUGAAACAGUUGAGAUUUUGGAAGUUUGAAUUGAAUUAAUGAAGUGUAGCUGUUGGGAAACUUUCGGUCAAAAUGAUGGAAGUAGUAAAGGAAAUUCUUUCCAGAUUUCUUUUGGCGAAUUUUAGUUCUAAAACUUCUGUUUUGAGCUAUAAACUAUUUCAUGCUUAUUGACCUCACUCUCGAGCAUGUCAAAAGGGCCGUGCAUGUGAAUUUUUGGGUGACCAUUUGAUGUUAAUCAUGGCUACAAGGAUGAGAUGAAUUUAUCGGCAAUUGAAGGAAUAAAUUUUGAAUUAUAACCAUUGUGAAUUACUUAAUCCGCAUUGGUGUAUGUGUUAUGAGAAAUAAUUGUUGAAUGCUAAGGGUUAAUGAUUGAUGAAGCCCUUGGCCAUGUGAAUGAUUUUUAUAUAAUCGUUAAAGUGAUGAAAUUUAAUUGCUGAAAUGUCUUUGAGGCCUUACCUUUAUUUUUAUGUGUAUAUGAUGAGUUUGCUGAAACCAAGUGCUAAUGAUUGAUGAAGCCUUGGUCGUUCAAUUUUAUUUUUAUCAGAAAUGCAAUUGUUGAAAUCUAGGGCUAAUGAUUGACAAAGCCCUAGUGAUUUGCUAUGUGAUUUUGCCAUAUUUGAUCCAUAAUAUGAUUUCGAAACGGAAUCGGAGCUGUGGAAGUCGCUUCUACCUUGCGAACUCGUGUAGCUGUGAGCAAAUUAAUCAAAAAUAUUUUCCAGCUAGUAUUAAAUCAUAAAACUCAAUAUCUAGUAUUUUGCCUAAAACUUUCCAACCGAUAAUUUCCUUUAGCUCAAACUAGCCUUGAUAGUUAUAGGAAAGAAUUUCUCUAGCUUUUGAAAAUCCUAAGUCUUAUUUUAAUUUCCUUUCCUUUCAUUAAGAUUUGCCCUUGGAUAGUUGUCGGUAGGAAAAGUUCCAAAAUAAGAGUUUUAAUAACUUUAAUUAAGAAUGUAGAAACUUGCUCGGCAAGAAACUUUAUUUAGAUUAAAUAGUUUUUAGUGACAAUUUUUACAAGAACCAUAGCUUAAAAGAAAUCUUUCGAAGUAUCUUUCUAGUUUUAUUAUUAAGUGGUUUGUCGAAUUAUCUCAAGAAAAUAAUACUAAUUACCUUUUAUAGGGAAAACUACAAGAAACAUUUUUACUACUUUUGCCAAGUUUCAACCUAAGUAGAUCUUUGAGUUUACUUCGAAAUGAUAAACUAGUUAUAAACUCGAUAAACCUUUAUAGUUAUAAACCUGGAACUUGAAUAGAAAUUGAAAGUGUUAUAUUUGUACUUUAAAGGUCAAACUUGAUUUUAAUAAUUUACGCAGAAAACUUGUUUGGCAAGAAACCUUAUUCAAAGCAAAUUGGUUCUGGUUUGCACCUCUAGAAAGAAAGAAAUCCUAUGAAGUAUUUCAUCACUUUCACUAGUUUAACUCUAGGGAAAUUGUUAAUUUAUUUGGUGUAGAUAAACUAGUUAUAUACCAGAUAACUUUGUAUUUAUAAACCAAGAACCGUACAACAACACUUAUAGUUUUAAAUUCUGGAUUUCUAGGGUAUAGCGAGGACGUGGAUUUGUGAAUCCCAGCUUGAACUCUGAACUUCACUUUUGGUGAGUGUCCCUGCUUGUUUUAUGUUAUGUGGUUAAGCGCUUUACCAAUUCGCUAUGUGAUAAUUGUCAAAAUGCAAUAAAUGAUUUUUGAUCCAUCGAAGUGAGCAGUGUGUACUUUAUCGCACUAGCCGUUCGAGUGGUGACGUGUGUGAAACAUUUUCUAAUGAAUCCGUGAAUCUAAAGGACGUAACGUCGUUGGGUGAAUCCCUCGACGAGUCAAUAAUAAUAAAUCAAGUGCUAGACGUAAAGUCGUUGGGUGAAUCCCUCGACGAGUCAAUAAUAAUGAAUCAAGUGCUAGACGUAAAGUCGUUGGGUGAAUCCCUCGACGAGUCAAUAAUAAUAAAUCAAGUGCUAGACGUAAAGUCGUUGGGUGAAUCCCUCGACGAGUCAAUAAUAAUAAAUCAAGUGCUAGACGUAAAGUCGUUGGGUGAAUCCCUCGACGAGUCAAUAAUAAUGAAUCAAGUGCUAGACGUAAAAUCAAUAAUAAUGAAUGAAGUGCUAGACGUAAAGUCGUUGGGUGAAUCUCUCGACGAGUCAAUAAUAAUAAAUCAAGUGCUAGACGUAAAGUCGUUGGGUGAAUCCCUCGACGAGUCUAUAAUAAUGAAUCAAGUGCUAGACGUAAAGUCGUUGGGUGAAUCCCUCGACGAGUCUAUAAUAAUAAAUCAAGUGCUAAUAAUAAUGUAAGUUCAGGACGUAACGUCGUUGGGUGAAUCCCUCGACCAGUCUAAGGUACACUUGGGUAUUAUCGCCUUCCUAUUUGUUUACUUCAGUCGAAUCAAUACGUGUUAAUUGUUUUAAUUGAUUGCAUGUUUUUGGGGCACCACUGAGCUUUAGCUCACCCCACGUUUAUUGUUUUCCUUAACAGGUUCUGGAAACUGAAAGCUGGAUGCUUACUUAAGUUUUCCUUUUGGAUUGUAUUUGAAUACUAUAACUUAUUCUGUGGGCUGUAAUGUGUUAUUUGAGAUAAUGCACUUUUCUUUUGGGUUGCCACUUGAAACUGGAAAAUGGGUAAACCCUAAUU